GUGAACGCUGGCGGUAGGCCUAACACAUGCAAGUCGAACGGCAGCACCGGAGAGCUUGCUCUCUGGGUGGCGAGUGGCGGACGGGUGAGGAAUACAUCGGAAUCUGCCCAGUCGUGGGGGAUAACGUAGGGAAACUUACGCUAAUACCGCAUACGACCUUCGGGUGAAAGAGGGGGAUCGCAAGACCUCUCGCGAUUGGAUGAGCCGAUGUCGGAUUAGCUAGUUGGCGGGGUAAUGGCCCACCAAGGCGACGAUCCGUAGCUGGUCUGAGAGGAUGAUCAGCCACACUGGAACUGAGACACGGUCCAGACUCCUACGGGAGGCGGCAGUGGGGAAUAUUGGACAAUGGGCGCAAGCCUGAUCCAGCCAUACCGCGUGGGUGAAGAAGGCCUUCGGGUUGUAAAGCCCUUUUGUUGGGAAAGAAAUCUUUCAGGCUAAUACCCUGGGAGGAUGACGGUACCCAAAGAAUAAGCACCGGCUAACUUCGUG
rnacentral:rRNA from 1 species